GAAUUUGUCUUGGUGUAGUUAACAAACACUUCCACUACUGCUUGUGCCAGGUACUGAUGACUGAUGAUGUCAUUUACUUGAACCUUUAGCAUGAACACCGAUCCUGAGGCCGCCGCGGCGGGGGCUCCCCCCGGCAGCGCCGCUCGCUCCGGCUGAGGGCGGGUGGCGGCGGCGGCCGUCGGCCGGCCCUGCAGCAGCAGCAGCAACAGCGCCAGAAGCAGAGAGGGGGGCGGCCCGCGGGUCCCCGGCAUGGCGGGCAGCCCGCGGGCAGCCGAGGAGCAUCGCGGGCGAACACCACACCGGGAGCUCCGGCACCGAGCGGCCGCUGAUCCCACCCCCUCCGCUACGUGCGGGGCGGGGCCGCCCUGAGGGGCGGUGCUGGGGCUGCAGUGUUCCGUCAGCGCGGGGACCCACUGUGCCGCGUCCACACACGUCCGGGGACGGUGACCCGGCACCUCCCUGAGCAUCACCGCUCUUUCAGAGAAGUUUUUCCCAACACCUGACUGGAUUAAGUGCGGAAAACACGUCGGGACCGCCUCACAGAGGAUUUCAUGCCAGCACCAACGUGGCCGUGCCUUGAUUUCAGAGAGGCAGGUGCUGAGGCUGUUCCGUGUGUCGCUUCACUCAUACACAAGUUUCUUCAGAAGUUGCUGAGUUUGCUGAAAAAUAUGACUUCAGCCACUCGUGCCCUACGGACGAACUGUGCUGCAAUGAGAAACUUACAGCCACCUCAGCAGGUAAGGUUCACUACUUUUCUCUACAAUAGUUUGAGUACGUUGGUCUCCCUCUUCUUCAUCAACACCAAAAAAUACAUGCAUUGAAAACUAUUUCUUCUGAAGUGACCUUUAUUUGAACUGAGCAAAAGGGCACUGAACGAGACCAGCAUUUGCUGGUUUGGAGCUCUCCUCUAGAAGCUCAGGAAGUGGAGAGAUUCUCACUUGUUCAGUGCCCAUCGGCCCAGAUAACAUUCUCUUAACUAGCUUCCUAUUCAGCCCUUUAUCUGGGCAAAGUAAAAGGCCUGCUUCUGCACAGCCUCUGCUACAGUUAAAUUCACUUUUGAAUCCCUGUGCCACUGUAUGUUCAGAGAGAGGAAGGAGAUCUACAGAAAGCUAACUAAAUGCUUUAAGCGAUUUGUUCCCUUUGAUAAUUAAUGUCUGAUGAAGGGUGUGUGGUAUUGGGUGAGCAUGGAUCAAGUAGAUGUUUAUCUGUAAAUGUUUGGGCUCUUAGGAAAAAAAAAGAUGUAGUUGGAGAUGGAUGGUUUAACCCAUUUGCAGCUGCAACAUUUUAAAUUAAUGUUGAUGGUGUGAGUAUGCAUAAUUAAUCUUUAUGGAGUUCUGAAAUAAAUCCUUUAAGCACAUGUUAAGAGAUAUUAUUGAAAACAGUUCACAAAAGGAAGUAUCGUGGAAAUUUGGUGUUGGUACUGCACUUAGAUAAACUGCUGAAAAGGCACUUGCACACCCCAGAUAGUACAAACAACACGAAGUUCAGAAAAUAAGAAAAAUCACAAUCAGCUUCACAGUUUCUUAGCCAAAUUUUCUUUAAAAAAAAAAAGGUUGAAAUCUGAUAAUAAGUAAUUUAUUUCACCUUCCCGUGCACUUAUUUGAAGUAAUAUGUCCUAUAGAAACUUCUGCAAUCUCCAAAGGUUGGUCUCAUAGUUUCCAAAAUUUGAAUAGAUUACAAGAUAGCUGCACAUUGUUAACCACCGAAGGGAUGUAACGUGGCAUCUGGUGAUAUUUUGUCAGAGACUGAAAAGCCUGUACAAAGGAACACAAAAUGUCAGUGUAGAUAUGUGAUAAAAGUAACAAGCAGACAUGGUCUGCCUGUGAAGCUGUAAAGACUAGGUAUGUCUCUUCUUGGCUUCUUACGUUUGAAGGCCUGUGUUACACAUUUGGGCCCUACAAGAUUGGUCGUGGCAAGUCCUACACACCUGUGAAGUGAGGUAAUGUUUCAGCACCCAACAUACAGGUUUAUCUGAAAGAUGCAAUAAAACAGAUUGUUUCUGAAAUACUCUGUGUGACCUAUGGCCUUCUGACAGCACUAAUCCUAACUCUUUGUAAGAGGUUUAUACAAAUAAUCAAAAGAAAAAGUCUCAGUUUUCACCACAUUAUUGAAUUACUUUAACAGGUAAUUUAAAAAUGCAUUUAUAUAUGCUCAUAUUUAUUAAUAUACCAAUAACUUAGAAACUCAGAGCAUGUGAAGCAGUAUAACUGAACUGGAGAUAGAGUUCUGUUGAUGUAAAUAACCUCAAGACAUGGACCAUCAUUUUCUUUGAGGUGGUUAAGGUAAGGGCAAUGUUAAGAUGGAAAAACAUUGAAAAAAACACUCACUGUUCCCAUGUUGCUGUACUGAUACAGCUCUUGUCAUUAAUUUCUUAAUCAUGCGUUGUUUUGGAACUGGUAUACAGAUAUAGCAGUCACCGUGCUGAUAACUAACUGAAGCUAUCCAAAACUAGGCCUGCAUUGGCUGCACCUUGUAUUGAAAGAACACUCCGAAGCAUAUUUUGAUUAUUGCCAUAAUGUUUUGUACAUGCUUCAACUGCAGCUAUUGUGAAUGCGCCGAAUGCUGUGAAUUAAAACAUAACUACCAGUAUUUCAGUGUCCUUUUUUGACAUUGUCUAUAGGCCAACACAUUCUCUACUAACAAUCCAGGUAAUCCAGUUUUGGACUUUUUUUUUCACCAAUGCCAAUAUUUAUUUCUAAAAAAAAAAACAAAAACAACAACAAAAAACCAGAUGUGCAAUCAAUGGAACUUAAAAAUGUACGCCUUUAUCACAAUACAAAGUAUUUACUGUCUCCCCACUCACUAGGAUGAUUGUUAAUUAGACUGUAAUCCUAAGAUAAAAUUAGCCUAAGAACACAACAACAACAGCAAACAAUCCUUCUGAGAAUUUUCCUGAACAAAGGCCGAGAAUUGAACAUUUUCUACAGUGAUGCGACAGCUACAGAAUCUGAGUUCCUUCUGGUACACAGACAUCUCUGUAAGAAAGUUGGUUUUUGUGACGAGAAAAAUCUUUCUGACCAGAUCUUCAGUUUUGCUUGUGGUUAUGAAUUCUUUGACUUGUGGUUAACCUACACUGUUUCAGUUGAAAACGUAGAAGUUAUGUAAAUAUGACCUUUUCAUGGUUAGUACGUAACAGGGGUUGUAAACAUAUACUAUGAAAUACUUUAAGGUAAAUUAGAUAUAUAUUUUCAAAUAAUCUAGGAAAGAAAAAGGAAGGAAGCCGUGUUAGUUAAGAGGUAUUUUAUUCCAAAAUUCUUAACAUCAAAAUCAACUCAAAAUACAUUUUUUCAAACAGGUUAUCCAACAAUAUUUUGAAAUUGAAUACACAUAUAGAAAAAUACAACCUAAUAAAAUCAAUUUUCAAUUAAGAUGAAAAGAAUGCAUUGAAAAGUAAACCAUAGCUUAAUAGCUAUUUUUUGAUAUCAGUACAAAAUUACUGUGCUAUAAUACCCACAUUUUUUGCAAGGUUUAUAACUUAAUAAAAAUAAGGUGACUUCAAAUGUAUAUUGCUCUCUUUAAAUGUACCGAAGACCUUGGAAACAAGUUCAUAGUUACUGAAAAUAUUCCCAUUCAUUACAAAUAUUUACUACAUAACUAAGAAACCCAAAACGCAGCAGUCUCAUUAGUAUGUUAAUUUUCUGCCUGUGCAAACAAUGCUAUAAUGAUUUAAUGCACGAGCAAAAAAUCAAUUCAAAAAUUCUAUUACCAAGAAAUACAACGUUACAUUUUCAACAUAUUUAUAUCAUAGCAAAUACCAGUUGCCUUCCUGGACUAGAAAGGGCCACCUAAACCUGAAACCAUCUUUUGAAGAUGUUUUUGAAGAGUUUGAAAUGCUACAUCAGUUCUUCAUUUACUUUACAAAAGCCAAAGGUCAAGUUACUCAAUCUUAAUGAAGUGUAUCUGGAGAGGUCACUGCGUGUAAUGCUAAGUUCCUCGGGUUAUUAUUUAAAACUUCUACACAAUGGAAAAAAAAAUGACCAACUUUCUAUGAAAUAGCAGUAGCACUACAGACUCAAACCCAUUAUUUUACAGUCUCUAGUCAUGUUUUCAACAGUGGGCUUAAAGAAUAUUGUACCAAUUCUCAAUAAUUCAACAGUUAGUAAUGGAUACAGUUUAGAAUAUACAUCUUGUUUCACCCAACGUGAGUGAUCAACAUCUUGCUACACCAUUCAUUUAUCGUGUCAUUUCAUCACACUAGUUUUGUUAAAGUUCUUCAAAAUAUUGACCACUGCAAGUCAACAAAUGCUACAUCCCUUCCUAGACAAAGGAAACCAGACAACUUGGCAGUGAACUAGUUCCGAUCAUGUUAUAUUGCACUUGGGAAUUAGAAGCUAGAGAUUCGGUACCAAAGAGCUCAGAUCCCUCUCCCAUCAGUGAGAAUCAGCAGAGGUCAGCAUGGAAUCAUGCUCCAACGUGUGCCAUUUGUUUGUAAUAAAAGGCCACUGCCACUACUUAUGGGUUCAUCCCAUCACUCAAGUAAGCAAACAAAAAGCUCUCCCUUUACUGUAACGCUCAUCUGUGCUUUGCCAAUUACUUUUUAUACUGGACUUCCAUUUUCAUUUCAUAAAUUCCUUUAUUUUUUCUUCCUCAUUAACUGUCAAUAACAUUUAACUCCAAGAGUAUAAUUGAAAGGUGAAUGUCAGGUUUUGUGUUACUUCAUUGGACUGUGGAAUAGGCCUUAACACAGACCAAAAAAAACUAACUGGAUUUUCACCAGUGUAAUCUUGAUCCGUUGUUGACUAUUUGGGACAGUACAGGAAAAAUACUGCAGGGCCUAUGGGUAACCAUCAGCAGAGCUCAGUGUUGCAGUACAUUGAAGUGCAACGUGAAUCCUUUGAAGGACCAAGAACAUGCUGAUUACAGCUAAAAUAUUUUUUAAAUACCCACGAGAGUUCAGCUAAAUGACUACUUAACCGCAGGCACAAAUUUAGAAACAUAUGAACAUUGAAGCCUUCACUUGGAAUAAAUGUGUUUUUAAAAAGUACAUGUAUAAUAAACUUUCUGAGAGUUUCAUAAGCAUUGCAUGAAUCAUGUAGAUCAAAAUUUAGAACAAUAAGCAGUCAUCUUUAAACAAAAGCUAUCUCAAUUUGGUAGUGUUUCUUGAAAGAAACGACCUAUCAAUUACAUUCUUCUCUUUACAUUUCUUCAAUACUGUCAAAUGUUAUACCAGACAGUAUGCACUUUAAAUAUAAAUCACCCUCUGUUAUGUAUCAUGAGAUGGUGCAAUAAUUGUAAACUAGAACAGAUACAGAAUUUCAUAUUUCAUUAUAAAGAUAUAGCACUUGAAAACAUUUUCAUUGGCUAACAUAAUUGCUGAUAUUAUAUACAUAAAAAUUAUGCUUCUGAAACAUAACUCUCUCUUAAGGAAGGCCAAGUCAAUUAUCUGAUACUGUAUUUGUGUUGGCUUUUUUUUUUUUUUAAUGCUUGCAGUAUGUAUCUUAUUUGCAUUAGUUUUGACUCAAGGGCAUUCAUUUCAUUCCAAAAUACUUUUUUAAAGUUAAUUUAAAAGUUUUAACAUCUCUCUAAAAUAUGUGCUAUAAGAAUACAUCAAUGCCUGUACGCCACUAUAAAAUUUAUAGUGACACAAGUGCAUAUACAUAUAUUUUCUUUAAUUGUACUACCAAAACUAAAAUGCAAAACCAAAGACUGCUUGUACAUCCCUUCAGAAAAGUGUUGUGUUCAGAACCCUCCUAAAAGAAUAAUGUCACUUUAAAGUGAAUUUGGGAUCUUAUGACCAUUUAUGUUCACCAAGAUACCUGUGUGCUCCACUUAUGUUGUUACUUUUCUUUCUUUAACCAAUCAGAUUGGAAAUUAGUGGAUGUGGGAGAAGUAACUGUUUGCAUUUAUUCUCAGAUAGUAUGUCAAAAUAAAAAUCAUUUAAAUAAGUCUUUUAUGUAACUUCAGUAAACAGAAGAAACUUUCCAUAGCUACAGUAGAUGUACCAACAAAAUGUACCUCUUUAUUUUGAAGAACAGUAAAAUGAUUUUCCAGUUGCCACAGUGAAAUUAAGACAUAGUUAGCACUGACAUAAACAGGGCUACAAAAUCCCUUCCAUGUCAGCUGAAGAUAUCUUGACCAUGUUUUUUUUUUUUUGUGGUUUUUUUUUCCUCCUCAUCUCCUUAUAGUGCCUAGAUAUGCAAGUAGUCUACUAAAUUUCAAGUCAACCUGGUAUGUACACGUAAGGAAAAAACACACAAGAAUUAGAGCUAUUGGUCUGUCUGGCAGUCCCUUAAACCUCUUAACCUACUAAGAUUAAAAACAAUCUUCUUGCACAGAUAGUAAAUUGAUGAGGUGUGAGAAAUAGAAGCCUGUGUAAGUAACUACGGUUGUGUUUUAUAAAAGUCACAUUCUGAGGCCAGGAUCAAAGCCUGACUCCCAAUUCCUUACUAUAUUACUAGUAACAAUGCUAGAAGCAAACGCAAAAGAAUGACUUUGGUCACAAGAAAGACCUGAAAAAUUCAGUGAAAACAGAAUUUUGCCCUAUAUUGUCUCAAACUAAUUAUAUAUAAACUAGUUUAAAAUAAAAACAUAUACAUGGAAAAAUAUACAAGCCAUGAUGUGAUAUACAAACUGGCCCUCACAGCCUUCUUGCUGUCUCCCUUAAUGACUCAAACGCCAUCAUGGUCUAGUGACUAAAAAUGGACUUAACAAAGAAAGCCAGUUGUGGAUUGUAUCUCAGAAAGGAGGCAGAAAUGAGAGUCAAAUCAAACUGUUCAUUUCAGGUAAUUCUGGCUUUACUGGACAUUGCAGCAUUUAUGGAAGAGAUGCAGAUGUGAAUGAAUACCACAGAUUACAAAACAAGUUUUUGUCCCUCUGCCAACCUUUUUUUUUUUUUUUUAAAUACACACACAGAAACCACAUCAGGAUAAUUAGAGUAGGAAUGUUUCUUUCUGUAUGUGGCUGCAUUCUUUUUCAGAGUGGAGAAUAAACAAAUCUCAUUUAAGGCAUCUUUCUACCAGUUUAAGUAUGUCCACUCUAAGCUUUGUGCAGCACAGCUACAUGUGUGCUAAAUACCUGCUUAAUUUGCACUUACUUACUGAAAUGCAUACAGAUAUUUUGUGUGCUCUCAUACGUAUAUGAGGUUUCACUUUAGUAGACCAAUAAUGAGAGAAUUAAGCUAAGAAUAGCAAAAACCAAUGGCUUGAACCCACUCACAUUUUUGUAUGUGUAUAAACCAGCAGUGAUAUGAAAUAGUCUCUCUUCUGGCAAUGAAAUGUAUUGAACAUAAUUAAAUAUCUUUUGUGCAAUCAAAUGUACGAUGAAUGAAUGAACUGGAACAAGCCAACUCAACCUUCUCUUUUAAAACCUUUUCACUUUGCCAGCUAUACUCUGCUUCAUUUGACAAGCUCACUACUCUAUUAGGGUAGGUGAAAGUGAGGCUAAAGUACUGAUGCAAUCUAGAUAUAUUUGGCUGAUACACAGUGUAGUUUAAACCAUCCCUGUUAUCACUAUAUCCUGCACUCGGAUGUAGUCAACUAUGGAAUGUGAGAAUUAUUAACAUCUUCUCCAGGGCGCAUCAGGUAAACUGUCACUCAGGUAACCAACGUCCAUUGCUUUGCCAGAAACUUUAACUCAGCCCAAGUAACAUACACACUCAGACUCCAAACCCUGUGGAGGUUUGAUCUUUGGAGAAAGGUUUUCUCAUCAGACAUGUCUGUGGGCAGCCACAGUCCAAGAUCUUGUCCCUGGUCAUUCCUAAAAGGCACCAUGCUGCCAAGACACUGUGGGACAAAUGGAUCUUGCUGCAUAGAAAUACAUAGCACAGUCUUUGGAUCUUGUCCUUAAUAUUUUCGCUAGGUCCCAUAUAGCAAGUAGAUCAUCUCCAGCCCUCUACCCCUCCCAUGGUGUAGGCUCUACCCCUCUCAUAACGUAUCUCAGGCCUGGAGAACAGUAUCUGUAACAUUUAGAGGAUAACUCAAGACAAACGACUAGACAGGAGAGAGUGCACAACAGGUAUCACAUCUGUGAGUCCACUGAAGAAUCUUUUUUGUGGUUUUUUGAGCAAGAGGGAAAUCCCCAGCAGAGUUAAUGAGUCAAGGAAUAUUGUUGAGUUUUGUAAAACAAGCCGUGAUCAUUUUUGUGCAACUAGCUUUCAAGAGCUGGGAAACAAACUGUAGUGUACAAAAACAAGUAUCUAUAGAAACAAAAUGUAAUCUUUCAAGUAUCUAUGGAAGCUGUUGGGUUCAGCUGUGUGAAGAGUCUGUAGUAGCUCAUAUAAAGUCGGUCUGUUAAAAACAUGUCUCCUACAUCCCAAUAAGCAAACUCAUAGCACUACAUUUUACUUAACGGUUUUCACACACAGAUCAGUGCAGACGUGUUAGUCACAUGUAUGGACAUGAUUAAUACAAAAAUGAGGAUUUAAAUAUAUUGCUCUUAUUUAUGUAUGUGCUGAUAUCUCCUGACACCAUCAUCCUUACAGUCAUGAGUGUUUUUGUCCUUAAGGGGGAAGCCUGUAUUUGUAACUAAGAUGUAGGCAUUUUUAAGUUUUAGAAUGUCUUACAGAUAAAACUCUGCUUAAGCUUCUGAUGUACCUUCCCCAUUUUCAUGUGGCUGCAGCUGUUCUCUUUCUUGUUCUUCUUGAGGUGGUCUCACACGUUUGAAAAAGCCCAUCUGUAAACCAGAAAACAAUAGAGAAGUUGAACCAUCUGAUUUUCAAAUACACACAGAUCUUUUUCUUGCUGCUUCUUGAACAGAUUUUAUCUGAUUGGUUAUUGAUUGUUUUUUCCUGCCACUCACUUUCCCUUGGUUUUUUGGCCUCUAAGGCUUAUAAAUACCAGAUACAGACAUUUAAAGUGAUUAUUUCAGCACAAUCACAGACGUUAUCUUUUUAUUAUUCAACUUCUACCUCACAAAGCACAAAAGUUGUUAUGUUUAACUAAAAAGUUAACACAUUCAGGUCACCAGAAAACAAGAUAUCUAUGCAAGCUGCUGCUACUUAUCUGAAUUAAUACACCAGUGGUACUGAAAACAACCCCCAAGUAAACAAUACUGUACUUACCCUGUACAUAACGAGCACUAGAACAGCCAAGAGCAAUAAUCCUGCUAGGACAGCUAAAAUUAUAACCCACACUGGCACAGGCAUAGGCUGUGGUUGAAUGCCCCAUGUAAUAUUUGUAGUAACCUAAUAGAAAAACACAAUUAAACACAUUUUGCACAGCAGUUGAAUUGUGAAUUCAUUCAUGCAUUUUAAGUACUGCUUAUCUGGUUUCUAUUGUAAUUAAAAUAAUCUUAAUCCAGCACAAAUUAACUUUUCACUCUGAUGUGAGUAAGCAGCCAUAGAAUAGUGACAAAAAGGCUUCAGUGACCCAAAUUUAAUAGGAUUUUCAGGAGUUGUUUGUGGUUUUUUUCCCCCCUUCAGUCAGUGAUACCAUGGCAACAUGUGUUCUAUAAUGCUUGGUGAUUCUCAGUACAACUGCAGGGUUUUGGAAAUGUUUUGAAAAUUAAAGAAAAAUUUUUCAGUGCUUUCUUUUUUUUUUUUCCCCUUAAAAGGUAAAGUUCCUUAAAAUUCCUUGGCAGGGGGGAUUCAACUCCAGAAAUUCUAGGAGCUAAAAGGGAGUUAAUAAUAGUCAUUGGAACUAUACUCCAAAAUAAACCAUCACAGUCCUUUUUCAGCCUCUUCUAAAAUCUUUUACAGUAUAAUGCCAACCAAAAACUUCUUCUGGCAGCCAAAUGGAGUGACCCAUAUCUUUCCUCCCGUUUGCACCUUGUCUCCUUUCUCUUUAGACCUCUCUAGGGCACAGAUGGUCUUCAGUUUCAGUCAUUGUAAUAUAAUCAAGGCCCGAUAUUCAGACUUGUAAGUGCUACUACAGAAAAGCACGAUUUUCAAAAAUCAAAUAUUUCUCUACCGAAUUUGAUGUGAACAGGAAUACUUAGAACUGUUCGCCAUCACUUCCUUUUUUCAUUUUUCAGUUAAUUCUUUAAUGCUACAAAUAGCGUUAAUUUCAAUUUUAGCACAAAAUGUUCCCUUUAUUCGCAACUGUAUGUAACUGAAAUUAAUUCAUGAAUCAAAGAUUUGAUACAAUUAGAAUUAAACUAAGCCACAAACAGCUGCUGAACUAUCAUUCUUUUUGUAUCAUUGACAAAAUGAUUAUUUUUGUUAAUUCAGGGUGGAUGUAAAUGACUUACCACUGUAGAAUUGUGAAUAUCUUCAAAAGAAAGGUUCUUGUAAGGGAACUCUAUUACAUUGAACGAAGCAGAUGAUUGAAGGGAAUAGGAGUGAUUCUGAUUUUCUUUCUAUACAAGAUAAACAAAAUUGUUAUUGUGUAUGUAUAUAAAAUCACUGUGUUUCAGAAGCAGGGACAUACUGUACCCCUUUACUUACAUUCAUGAAAGUUUGGGUCCAAAGUCUUGACUUUAAAUACAAUAUUGCACUCUUCCCCCUCUCCAGGUGGCCAACUUGGCAGACUAUCUUUAAACAAUCAGCAUUUCCACAGCCCUGUGCAUGAAAAACAGAAAUUAUAUGAGAAAGAUGAAAACAUUUGAAACUGUUAAUGACAUUAUUUGCAUAGGUAUUUAUUCUAUUUUCUAGGCAAUGCACCAUUAGCUAUUUAAAUACAUUAAAUGAAGACCAAUUUUAAGUGACUACCGACUGUUCAGUAAGUUCAUAUUCAGCAAAACAGUACUAGAGCCAGUUCUACGUUUCUGGAUCCCAAAACUGAAACUUCUAUCAGUAGAUUUAGGAUAUUUUCUUUAUCUACGCACAUAUAAAAAGAAAUUUCUACAGACUGGAGGGCAUUUCUGAUCAAUUUACAUUACUAUCCUGCACUUUUGUUUUGGCAGGAAAACUCAAGGCUAAGCAACUGCAACAAAAAAAAUACACUUUGCUCUUCAAUCUUGACUGACUGACUGACCUAAACUGUAAUCUACUCCUUAUAGCAAAGAUGAUGAAUACAGCACUCAUCUGCUUCUGUUUUACCUGUGUUGCCUGUCUUUCUCCUAUGAACUACUGGUUUCCAAAUGCAAGAAAUAGCACAAUACAGAAGCCUGGUACUGAAUGUCUCGACUUCUGUUUUUAAAGGCAUAGAACUUAGAACAGCAAAAAUCUGUAGCCACACACAUCAUUGGAAGACUAUGAGAAAAAUGUACACAUUGGGGAAAAAUAAAAACAAACAAAACCCAUCACACAGCUCCAGAGAAUAUGACUCUUUCUCUGUUAAACUUUAAAACAUGGAACAAGCUCUAGCAUGUUUUCUGAAACAAUACUUUGUCACACAGAGCUUUCAUCUCUCCAUUAAAAAUCAACGUAGUAUGGAUCUAUCAAUGUUGAAAGCUUACCAAGGUUUGCACGUCUCCUUCAAUGGCAGUUAAAUCUCUCCGACUGAUACGAUGAUUGCGGUUAUCUUCCCUGCUAAACGUUUCAUUCUUUUCAUCCUCUUUAGGAGCAGAAAUCUAGGAUAAACCAAGGAAGCCCAAACAAUAAAUAAUUCUUUCCUUUAGAUUAUUGAAAACUUGAAAGUUAAGUUAAAAGUUCAUGAAAAUAAUAGAACUUAUCAGUUUUCCCUCCUCUUUCUGUCCUAGUGAAGCUUUGCAUUACUUCAGAACCUGCCUUCAGCUAUAGCUGUUAUUAAAACAUUACUCAUGUCAUUUCUAAGCCACUGCUAAAUUUCUACUGAGAUCUAAUAAAAAGCCUUGAAUAACUUAACUCUUCUUCAACUCAAAACAUUCUCAAGUGCACAAUGAACAUAAAAAUACUGAGAUUGCAAUAAAAAUCUGAUUUUGUCAAGUUCUAUUAAAUAUUUUUCCUCAUCAUUUCAGGUUUCUUCGUUCUGAAAAAACAGCACUAGCACAGCACUGAUGUACCAUAUCGCUGUACGUGUGUACACAGACAUACAACAGAGAGACCUGGAAAAGCAUCCAAUAAGUUUAAGAAAUAAUUUCACUAUUUCCUUACAAAUUCCAAAUGUAAGAUUGAAAUUUGUAUCUGGGACUAGGCAGAGCCACGCUGAAGUCUUUCUAACUAAGAAAUGUAUAGCAGGAUUAUUCUGAUUAUCAAGGAUACAUGAGUAAUUCUUUAUUGCUCUAUUCAACAAAUAUCUUCCCUAAAUCUUUUUAUACAGACUUGCUUAAAUUGUUCUCAAUCUAAUUUUUACUACCACUUCUAAGUUAGUUUAAGAUUCAACUGUACUCUCAAUCAAAAUUUACUGUUUUUUUAUCUGAUAUUUCUUUGUCUCUUCCAACCUAGGAAAAAGGAGUUUCUUCUGUUCUGCUCUUUACAAACCAUUUGUUUUGCUGAAGAAAAUAAUAUUUGUUUAAGCCCUAUGGAAACACUUAUUGACGAAGGUGGGAUCUUUGGAAGAUGUUAAGCAACAGAAAAGCUACUAACAUUAAAAAUAAAGCAAUUCUGUCAAGAAAUAAAAUCUAGAAAAUAUAUAUGAAUAGCCCUGAAGUACAUGAAAUAUUUUUAAAACUACAUUCAACAUAACUCCAUUGCUUUGGACUUAGAAGUCAGAUAGCAUAGAUUUCAAGAAAAAAGCAAAAGAAAAUCAGACACAAAUUUAUCUUUAGUUUGGCCAUCUGUUAUCUACCUUUUAUUUCACCUGCCAUGUACAUUAGCAAAUACCAUCAAACGCUAUCAUCUUGCUCCUCAACAAUAGAGGAAAACUCAACUCUGUGUGUUAGAUAUUUUGAGGGAUUCAGGUCUUAUUAGCAUCUUUCCAAAUAAGCAAACAUACUUCAUUUCACUCAACCAAAAAGGAAAGUACCACAUACCUUAAUUUUCAAUGGAUUGAUCUCCAUAUCAGAAGUGCAGUUCAUGGGACCAUCAAUGUCAUAUUGAACAAUAUACAAGAGUGUAUAGUUUUUGUAUUUGUAAGGCCACUGCAGAGUCAUCAUCACCUUGCUGAAAGCACUUGGGCCAUUGUUUCUCAGCUGAUUAUGAAAAUAAAAAUUACAGAUGUAAAAAAAAAAAUCCUUUCUGUUGUCAAGACACAUAUAGUGCUUAGUUUAUAUUUCAGCCACAAAUGAUACUGAUGUGAAUGUCGCUACCCCCGGCAACUUAAAGCAAUAACAUUAACAACUUUUCCUAAAAAUGCUAACUGAACUACAGUCCCUCAGCAGUCAGAACUUGAUUUUUUUUUCUGUAAUAUGAUGGGAAAAAAACUUCCAAGAAAAGCUUUUUAGCAUUAUUAUUUUUUUUUUUUGCCUUGAAGUAAUAUAGUUUUUGUAGUGUCAUCACAAAUCACAGCCUCUGUACAUGUCUCAGCCAAGAUACUCUGAGCACAGAUAACAUAUACCCUGUUUCUUUAGAUGAAUGGUCUCCUAUAAGUCAAAGAACUUGCACUAUUCAUAUUCACACAGCUCUCUCAGUUUUGUUUAAUUAAACAGUCUAGAUUAAAGCUGUGAUCAUUCUUUUGAACUUAAACUUUUCAACAAAGUUUUAAAUACUUAAAAUUUUUCAAGACUUACAAUAAUGAGUCGGAACAGUUGGAAUACUAAAGAGAAUACUAAAUAAUUUACAGCCAUGAGUUAUUUUCUGAGUUCAAAGUACUUCAAAUAUUUUAUCUAGAUUUCAAAGGGCUAGAAAAAUCUUACAGACAAUAAAAUAUGUGUAAUGAAGUUAUUAAAAAAAUUAUUCUAUUAUACUUGGCCACUUCUGUUACAGUAAUUGCAGGCAUUCCAACCCUUCUUGCAGAUACUAGUUAUUGACCCAGCAUAAUAAAGUCUUUGUUUCUAUACAAGAAUAAAAUAAGAUAAUCUACUUGAGCAGAAAGCUACACUGGAGAUUGCUUUCUUUUCCUUUAUCACAAAAUAAUGUAAUUGAAAUUAGUAGCAACUGCAUACCUCAUAGAUAUGCUGAACUAGAGGCCCUAUAUCAUCUUCUGUUUCAGGAUUCUCCUUGGGCUGCCAAUUUGCAAUAGGAAGGAAUAUGUGAUCAGGAGAUGACACGCUAAACAGUGGAGCAAACAAUUAGUUAUAAACAAUUAUGAAACACAAAAUGCAGUUCUCUAGAACAUGUAAAAAAAAUGUACAUGCCUAAAAUACAAUCUGCAAUUUUUUCAGCCUCUGUUUAAAAACUAUAUUGCGUAUCUACCAAAUACUCAUAAAAUAAGAUCAGAAAAUGAGUGGAAUAGAAAUCUAAUAAUGUGACAAGUCAGGAAUCUGAGUUAACUAAGUAAGCAAGAGGAUUUUAUAGCUUUUAGCUAUGGAGUAUAUACUGGAUAAGUAGAAGCAAAGAAGGUUAAUGGAGUCAUGAUAAUAUUAAUACCAUGCUUCAUACUGAAGGUGGUGAAGCCACUGCAAAUUUAUCUUUAACAAGAUUUUGAAAUUUAGAAAAGGUUUGUGGGGGAGGAAAGCAAUCUGGAGAAACGUGCGCAACUAUGAAAUGGAGGAGUGUUUUCCCUCCAGCCCACCCCCUGCCUCCCAGAAAAAAACAGAAGCAUAACAAUCAUUUUUGGAACUAGCUUUGCAAUUUGUUAAAUUACUUAAGAUUUGCAAAUCCAAAUUGUGGCUGGAUAAUGAUACAUUAUGAUUCAAAACUCAUUCAUGAAAAAUAACACAGAUAGACCUGAAAGAAAGAUUAUUGAAUUAUAAACAAACAAACACAUAAUGCUCACUUGAGAGGAAAAAAAAAGUAUUAAAAUAGUAUCAACCCUUACCCUCUAAUUUCAACAGCUGCUGAAAUGGCAAGGUCAACCUGAUAGAAUGCUACAGGACUUAGAUUGUCAAACAGAUUGGAACUGCAAAGAAAAUUGAAGUGAAUUUGUUAAAUAAAAUAAACUAAGUAUUAAAAACAAAUAUAAAAAUGAAAAAACCCUAAAGUGAUUGGAUGUAACAUCAGAACAUGAUCCCUGAGACACUGUAGAAGAGCAGAUACAUUAAACUAAAAGUGCUGUCCACCAAGCUCUUACUUAAAUGCAUCCCAGUCCCACCUUCAAUGCAGUUUGAGUUCUCUCUGAAGAGAGAAGUUAACUGAGGGAACAAAGCUAGUGCUGACUUUGUUCCUUAGUUGCCACACCUAAGAAACUGCUGAAUAACAUCAACUAUACAACCCAUAAAGCCCAAAGUUCCUCUUCAGAACAUCUGUUUUGCCUGGAGACUUGGCCUUGAACUAGUCACAAGGCACAAAAGUAUGCUAGGGCUACUUUUGCCUGUCAUCUUCACAAUUUUUUGAAAAAACAGAUGGGUAUAAUUAACAUCUGAUUCCCACACCUCGGAUCUCCUAAAUAAUUUGCAAGAUAUUAGGGCAUGUAGUCAUUUUUACACAAAGUUCCUUUGGUCUUGGUUUAUAAACAGAGCAAGAGAAAUAUAAAGCACACUCAAAUUCCCCUCAAAGUGGGGCUGAGAACAGAAUCCUGGUCUCCUUAGAAAAUUCUCAUUAUUCUGACUGUGAAAGCAAACUAUUUCCUUUAAAAAGAUCUUAAAUCCUCAGUAUUAUUUUUUAUUUUUGCUGUAAUUGAAAAAAAAAAAAAAAGACUUGCAAUAGGGUUUUCUUUCUGACCAGAAAAUAAUUCAUGCUUUCAGAGACUAGAGUUCUUCAGUAGGAAGUGUGCCAGCUUUAGAAAUCUAGCUUUGUCAGUUUAAAACAAGAGUUAUCUUUAAAACUUCUUCAAGAUAACACCUUGAUAAUGCGUGUCACUACUAACAGUGAUGUCUAUGUUCAGUUGCAUCACUGUUCUCACACUCAGAGACCGCUACUUAAGUGCCUGCUCUUGAAAGAGAGGCACUUAAGAGUUGGCAUUCUUGACACUUUAGAAUUGGACCCCAAGUGGCAUGGUAGAUAGUUGGCAGCAAGACUACGUCCAAGCUACUAACACUUUUCCACUAUGCAGUGUUCUUCCAAAGCCAGGACCAGGAGAAGCGAAGAGAAUAGUAUUUGUAGAAUGACAUUAAGACUGAAAGAGACAGUGUCUUAAAAAAGAAAAAAAAUCACACUGUUGUCAGAUAAAAUAGUGAAGUGUGGCCUCGAGUCCCUGUAGGAUGCUGGCUAGGGUAAGCUGGUGAAAAAAAAUCCAGGUUUUGGAGAAAGGAAGGGGGAAACAACUUAGUGAUAACACCUGAAGUCUUAAGAGCCGUCUAGCUUCAAAGCACUCCACUCUGAAAAUUUGGGCCUUAACAAUUGAAAACAAUAGCCAUGUGUCUUCUGACAAGAGGAAUUCAUCCAGUCAGGUGUAGUCACAGACAUACAUUUCAAAAAGACAAGCUGAUAUUUCUCUUCCACGACAUCUUCUUACGUUUAUUGUUUUACAAUUUUAUGAUAUUAAGAUUGCCAUUUUUCUCAGAAGUUCCUUAAUUAAUACUUGAGAGUUGGAAUGGCAAUAAGUCAGAUCUCAUGGCUAGAUAUGGAGGGAUGAUGAUGAGUAGCAGUCAGAGGUUGUUUAAGGAAAUUGCUUCCAUAAAAGGUAGAAAACAUGAUAGGAACUUUCUUUCUCUCCCAUCAGAAGAGGAGCAUGACUUGAGCAAUCUCACAUAGAGAUUCUUUACUGACUGUUUCCUAGGGAAAGGUGGAUAGUGACAGCUGGUAGUCUAAAUGAGAAGACAGAAGCCCCAAACAAGAUUGCUUUAUGCAGAGAAACAGAGUCAAAUUUUACUGUCACAGCUUACUAUCUGCUGGAAAAGGGGGAGAAAAUUGAAUAGACAGCAAUGUGAGAUCAAAGAGAUGUUUAAUGCUGCCACAAACUUGGAUCAGUAUGGCAAACCACUGUAUCAUUAAAAUAGAAUUGCAGGCUUAAAGCUACUUAACUCCUGUAAUUGAAAAAUGAAUGUAUAUGAGAACUAUUUAUUUACUGCAUAUGAACAAUGAAACCCUUAAUUGAGAGAGGAAAAAGAAGGGUCUGCUCCAGUAUAGGGAAAAACAAGUACUAUGCAUUUGCAUGGUUGGUUAAGCAACGGAAAACUGUUUGAGUAGAAAGAUUCCCAUUGAUCACAUCUCCAAAUAUUGAAUAUUAUCAGUAGAUAUAAAUUCAUAUUUAUAUAUCACAUAUUAAAGUGCUGUGCAUAUCUUGUGAUUAACAAAACCACUAAAUACUUCGUUCAAUUUAAUUUUUAGACUCUUUUGCACUGACUACUGUAUAGCACAUAAAAUGCUUCACUGCAUAUUGCAUCUACUUAGACCACCAUAUGCAUUGCCCCUUCAAAAAGACUUACGUCAUUCAUCCUCAAAAUACAUAUAACUUCAAAUUCUGGUUUUAGAUCUGAAGCAAUUAGGCAUUCAAACACUAGUUUUAAAACAGGUCUAGAAACCCAAAGACUAAAAUUAUACUGUGGCACUAGAGAAACGUCAGGGAGAUUACAGCAAGUACAGAAGACGCAGUUUGUCUUGAAACACUUCAGAUACUUUUGCUCCCCAUUACUAAAACAGCAAUAUUAAAACAGCAAAUUGUGCCAUGGCCUGUGUAAAAGUUGUAAGCAAAAGAAACUACAUUCAAAUAGAAAACUGCAUCUUUCCUGUAUUUUAGAAACCUUAAUUCAUAGAAGAAUGUUUAGUUUUUAAAAAUAUUACCAAGCAAAGACCAUACAACUGUCCCAGCAUGAAACUAUAACUGCUCAGUUCAUGAUCAUUAUACUCAGCACAUUAUCUACCAGGCAAUGAGCAUAUUCACAGAUUUCCAUACCUUCGGAUCUGCAAGUCAAACUUCACAGAGGUAUCCAUUUCGGAUUGCUGGUGCACACUGAAACGCAGGCCAGCUAAUAGCUUUAGAAAAAAAUUACCAUGGUUCAGUGGAAGUAAAAUAAAUUACAAAAUAAAAAUUUCUUAGCACUAUUAUACUACAGUUGCUCAAGCAGGGGGUCAUAAAGAGAACAUACACAGAAUUGGCAAAUAAAACUUGUCCAGCUCAUCAUAGCAGUAAACAUAUCCCUCUCUCUAUAGAUUGCUCUCAAUGCAUCAAUGCCAUAAAACAGAAAUACAUGGUAUACAUCAUGCUUACCACCUUGCUUCAGCUAUUUUUUUUUUUUAACAUGUAACCAAGUAUCAACGUGUGUUACAAAAAUUGCUGUGGUCUGAAGAAUCGGGCACAGUUUAACAGUUCAAAAUUCACAGUUCACAAGGUCAGUGUGUAACAAUUGCUUCAAUACCUGUGCAGUUUAGGUUGGUAUACUUUAACAUACUUGGAAAAUAGCAUUUAUUCAUCUGUACAAGAUGUCUCUUGGAAGAAAACACUGUCAAAGUGUUUAUAAUUGUAACUGAUUUUCAAUUUAUUUCCUCAGAAAACUAGACCUCUCAAGUCAUAAUAUCUUAAUAUCUGCCAGAUACCACUAUUAGUUUUCGAAUUCUUGUAGUUCUGGCUACAUUUGAUUGAGGUGCAGAGUUCUCAGCUAGACAAGAAACUGUCUCAGACUAAACAAAACUAAACAGAAGCAAUAUUCAUUUUCCAUAACAGAGAGAAAGGUGUAUUAUAAGCUAGCUAUUAAUUACAUACAAAAAAAAAAAAAAUCAGUAUUUGAUAGAUCUAAAGACAAAACUCAUAAGGGACCAAAAUGCAUUAAUUGCUCUGUUCUUUGAACUACACAUUUUGAGUUGCAUCAUAAAACUCACAAACACAAACACCCCUUUCAGACUUCAAUUUACUCAAGAAAUCAAAACUAAUUUCCACUGAACUAACCAAACAUGGGUAGCUAGAUGUCAGCUAGAUUUAAUCUCAGCCUCCAGUCAGUAAACAUCCUGUUCAAACGCUACCUGUGAUUGAGAAAAGCAACAGCUGCCCUCCUACCUGAACUACCAAACACCUGUCGGACCAAACCUCACCUUAGUUCCUGCUUUCAUGGGAUUUCCCAGGUCACAAACCACCAUGCGAGUUUGAUUCUCAGUUUUGAAUGCACACGACAGUCUUGCUAGAGCCUGCAAUAAAAAAGAAAAAAUUAAGGAACAUCAUUCUUUACCUCUUGACAUCUCUUUAAAAGGCCGGAGAAGAGUGCUAGAUAUGCUGCAUUAAUUUUAACGUGGUUUCUCAGUCACACCAUAAUCAAGCACUAUAAAUUCAAUGAAAUCUGAAUAUUCAAGUCGGCAAGGAGACAAAUGUUACUGAAGCAAGACAGAUGGUCUUUCCAAGGUUAUUGAAGGAGAAAUUCAGUACUCUUAUUUUGGAUAGACCUCAUGAUAUCAGUGAUCUAAAGCAUUUUUCCACUUAAUUCUUUAAAACCUACGUGAAUAAACUUUGGCAAUCAGGGAAGUGUUAAAACUCUCAGCAGAAAAUACAGAUUGGAAGGCAA
rnacentral:lncRNA from 1 species